GACGAACGCUGGCGGCGUGCUUAACACAUGCAAGUCGAACGGAAAGGCCCUGCUUGCAGGGUACUCGAGUGGCGAACGGGUGAGUAACACGUGGGUGAUCUGCCCUGCACUUCGGGAUAAGCCUGGGAAACUGGGUCUAAUACCGGAUAGGAGCCAUUUUUAGUGUGAUGGUUGGAAAGUUUUUUCGGUGUAGGAUGAGCUCGCGGCCUAUCAGCUUGUUGGUGGGGUAAUGGCCUACCAAGGCGGCGACGGGUAGCUGGCCUGAGAGGGUGGACGGCCACAUUGGGACUGAGAUACGGCCCAGACUCCUACGGGAGGCAGCAGUGGGGAAUAUUGCACAAUGGGCGCAAGCCUGAUGCAGCGACGCCGCGUGGGGGAGGACGGCCUUCGGGUUGUAAACGCCUUUCGCUAGGGACGAAGCUUUUUGUGACGGUACCUAGAUAAGAAGCACCGGCUAACUACGUG
rnacentral:rRNA from 1 species